rnacentral:rRNA from 1 species
CGGGAAGAAAUCGCAGAAGUUAAUAUCUGGUGUGGAUGACAGUACCGGUAUAAGAAAACCGGUUGACGACGGGCCAGCGGACGCGGUAAUACGUAGGGUGCGAGCGUUAAUCCGGAAUUACUGGGGCGUAAAGCGUGCGCAGGCGGUUUUUUAAGACAGGCGUGAAAUCCCCGGGCUCAACCUGGGAACUGCGCUUGUGACUGGAAGGCUACAGUAUGGCAGAGGGGGGUGGAAUUCCACGUGUAGCCAGUGAAAUGCGUAGAGAUGUGGAGGAACACCGAUGGCGAAGGCAGCCCCCUGGGCCAAUACUGACGCUCAUGGGCGAAAGGGUGGGGAGCAAACAGGAUUAGAUACCCUGGUAGUCCACGCCCUAAACGAUGUCAACUAGGUGUUGGGUGGGUAAAACCAUUUAGUACCGGAGCUAACGCGUGAAGUUGACCGCCUGGGGAGUACGGCCGCAAGGUUAAAACUCAAAAGGAAUUGACGGGGACCCGCACAAGCGGUGGAUGAUGUGGAUUAAUUCGAUGCAACGCGAAAAACCUUACCUACCCCUUGACAUGUCCAGGAGCCUGAAGAGAUUUUGGGUGUGCCCCGAAAGGGAACUUGGAACACAGGCGCUGCAUGGCUGUCGUCAGGCUCGUGUCGUGAGAAUCGUGGUGAGGAUAAGUCCUGGAGACCUGAGCGCAAUCCUUGUCGUUAAUUGAACCAUCAUUUAGUUGGGCACUUUAACGAGACUGCGGUGAUCAAACCGGAGGAAGGUGGGGAUGACGUCAAGUCGCUCCUGCCUUAUGAGUGUGGGCUUCCCACCGUGGAGAACAAUGUCCGGUACAAAGCGUUGCGAUGCCGCCGAGGUGGAGUCUACGAUCCCAUAACUAGCCGAUCGUAGUC